rnacentral:rRNA from 2 species
UGCAGAAUCCCGCGAAUCAUCGAGUCUUUGAACGCAAGUUGCGCCCGAAGCCAUUAGGCUAAGGGCACGUCUGCCUGGGCGUCA